UGCUAUCAUGCCAAGUCAGCCAGUACAUGCUGAAACCUGGCUGGCUGCCCCCCUUGUGUAUUGAUGCUGCCAACAGUAUGGGGUCUGCACAUCACCAGCAUGUACUGGCUGAGUGAUGGAUGCUUACACUGUUUCAGUUAAAAUGUGAGUUUCCUAGACUUUCAAAGAACACUUUAUCAAACCUGAGGAAUAUAUAGUUUUGAUUAUAUUUCAUUAAUAAUUGAUGAAAUAUAAUAAAAAAACAUAGGGCUCGACAAACUCUAGGCGCCAGGUCGCCAUGGAAACCACGGAUCUCCCUAACAGCCCAAAACUAAGGUAGCAGGUAAGUGUGCUCCCUAUGUGGCAUCGGGCAUGUUAAUUGUUACUGUCAAGAAAAAAAAAUCUUUAUGGAUUCCAUAUAUUGAACCAAAUCACUGGAAAAUGUGCUGAAAUAUAAUCAAAAACAUAGGGCUCGACAAACUUUGGGCGCCAGGUCGCCAAGGAAACCAUUCCCUGGCGCCCAGUGUUCAGCAGGGCUGACAUAUUCGGUACCCUACGCUUUCCUGCAGGGGCAUGGUAUAACGGGGCUUAUGUAACGGGGUCCCCACAGGAAAGGAGAGGAGUCCACAUUAGCGAGGUGCGUAGUUGUAUACUACGCCCUGAUUCAUUUCAUAGUUUUACAACUAAAUGAUUCAUUAGUCCUACUACUGAUAAAUGCCCAAAGAUUUUGUACUCGUCAUUUCAUUCAAUCAUAUUAAUCCUUUUUCUUAACAUGCUUUAAUUAGUUCUUCUGAAUAUCAAUUUAUUUUACUUUCAUAUACAAUUAACGCUGAAAUAGCCCCAACAUUUCUCUUCUAGUAUUCUCGUGUUCUGCGGUCUCCGUCAUAGAAGCCCUGGUAGAAAUGCUGGCAGCAGAUCCAGGUCUCUUGCAGCUCUGCUGGCAAUCUUAUAGUCAGACCUCUAUUUAACUGAACAUAUAACAACCAAACAGCUCUGUCUAUAUUAUUGCGUUAUUUUUCUUGCAGAUCUGCGGGGUAUUCUCCUCUCUGGAAGCUGGGGAAGGUCUGCGCGAUGCGCGUAAACAGCCUCAGCUGCUGCCUGCACUUUCGCCGGCGCUCGGUCAUAGAAGCCCCAGUGGAAGGGUAUUUUUCAGAGCAUUUGCUCUUAAAAAAAAACCCAAAAAAAAAAACCCUUGUCUUAUAAUCAACAAAAUAUGGUAUAUGGAAACGGGUGUUAGCUGGAUUAAUGGCUCAUCACAAAAAUUAAAGAGAUGUGGGAAAGAAUAUAGAGAAAAUACACAGCAUACAGUCUUGCUGCGAUUCCCGUGACUGUUAACUGGUAUGUCUUUGUCUUAAGUCUGUUUUUUCUUUGUUUUGUUACUUGUAUUUGUUUUGUCUAUUGAUAUUUGAAAAUGUAUUAAAGAUUAUUAAAUAAA